CCUACGGGUGGCAGCAGUAGGGAAUCUUCCACAAUGGGCGAAAGCCUGAUGGAGCAACGCCGCGUGGGUGAAGAAGGUCUUCGGAUCGUAAAACCCUGUUGUUAGAGAAGAAAGUGCGUGAGAGUACCUGUUCACGUUUCGACGGUAUCUAACCAGCAAGCCACGGCUAACUACGUGCCAGCAGCCGCGGUAAUACGUAGGUGGCAAGCGUUAUCCGGAUUGAUUGGGCGUAAAGGGAACGCAGGCGGCAUUUUAAGCCUGAUGUGAAAGCCUUCGGCUUAACCGGAGUAGUGCAUUGGAAACUGGAAGACUUGAGUGCAGAAGAGGAGAGUGGAACUCCAGGUGUAGCGGUGAAAUGCGGAGAUAUAUGGAGGAACACCAGUGGCGAAAGCGGCUCUCUGGGCUGUAACUGACGCUGAGGUGCGAAAGCGUGGGUAGCAAACAGGAUUAGAUACCCGAGUAGUC
rnacentral:rRNA from 1 species